rnacentral:misc_RNA from 1 species
AACGCACAUUGCGCCCCCCGGCAUUCUGGGGGGCAUGCCUGUUCGAGCGUCAUUUCAACCCUCAAGCGCCCACUGCCGCUUGGUGUUGGGGCGCUGCCGGCCCCCCCGGCAGGCCCCCAAAUACAGCGGCGAGCCCGCCAGGACCCCGAGCGCAGUAGUCUCCUUGCCAUCUCGCUCAGGGCGUACUGGCGGCUGCCCGGCCGUAAAAGCCCAAACCCCCACCCCCCCGGGGGCGGGUGGAAACUACAGGAGGUUGACCUCGGAUCAGGCAGGAAUACCCGCUGAACUUAA